rnacentral:rRNA from 1 species
GGCCAAAGUCGAACUUGGAGGUUGUGCCCUUGAGGCGUGGCUUCCGGAGCUAACGCGUUAAGUCGACCGCCUGGGGAGUACGGCCGCAAGGUUAAAACUCAAAUGAAUUGACGGGGGCCCGCACAAGCGGUGGAGCAUGUGGUUUAAUUCGAUGCAACGCGAAGAACCUUACCUGGUCUUGACAUCCACGGAAGUUUUCAGAGAUGAAAAUGUGCCUUCGGGAACCGUGAGACAGGUGCUGCAUGGCUGUCGUCAGCUCGUGUUGUGAAAUGUUGGGUUAAGUCCCGCAACGAGCGCAACCCUUAUCCUUUGUUGCCAGCGGUCCGGCCGGGAACUCAAAGGAGACUGCCAGUGAUAAACUGGAGGAAGGUGGGGAUGACGUCAAGUCAUCAUGGCCCUUACGACCAGGGCUACACACGUGCUACAAUGGCGCAUACAAAGAGAAGCGACCUCGCGAGAGCAAGCGGACCUCAUAAAGUGCGUCGUAGUCCGGAUUGGAGUCUGCAACUCGACUCCAUGAAGUCGGAAUCGCUAGUAAUCGUGGAUCAGAAUGCCACGGUGAAUACGUUCCCGGGCCUUGUACACACCGCCCGUCACACCAUGGGAGUGGGUUGCAAAAGAAGUAGGUAGCUUAACCUUCGGGAGGGCGCUUACCACUUUGUGAUUCAUGACUGGGGUGAAGUCGUACAAGGGGUAACCGGGA